rnacentral:rRNA from 1 species
GUCAGCGACCAUACCACGUCUGAUCACCCAAGUUAAACUACGUCGGGGCGGAUUAGUACUUGCAUGGGUGACUGGCUGGAAAUACCCGGUGUUGCUGACU